rnacentral:lncRNA from 1 species
CUAAGAGAAUCUGUUGUACUUCCUUGUGGUUUUAUUAGACCCUUGACGGGCAGCGUUCCCACCAGGUACGUGCUGUCUCCAAGAAGGAACCAGAAGAGGAGGAGGAGGCGGCAGUGGCAACAGUGACCAGUCCAGCACCCUGCCAGUGAUGAAGAGUGCCGCCUUUAAAGAAGGCCCCUGUUGUGGAGUGUCGUUGGGCACAGGCUACCUCCAAGAAGACAC